AACAUAAUUGAAAAACAACACCAAAAUAUCACACUAUGUACAGGCUUCUCUAAUGCUCUGAGGAUCACAGCUAGCCCCAUCCUAAUUUUUAAUUUUCAUUCCUAGAACUUCCAGUACAAGAACAUGAGAAUAGAAAACAUAAUUUUAAGAAUAACUAAGAACUAAAUUAUCAAUACCUGUUCGUUUCAGUCAGAGUGAGAGGACCAAAGUGAGUAAAACCUUCAAUUCGUGACGAGAUAGCUUCAAUCGUGUGUUUGUGUUUCAAUGGGUUUAGGGUUCGUGAGCUUGAGAAAUUGAGUUUAGGGUUCGUGAAAGAAGAGAGUUUAGGGUUUGUGAUCUUGAGAUUAGGGUUAGUGAGAGAAGAAGAUUCGUGAGAGAAGGAGAUUCGUGAGUGAUGGGUUUGUGAGCUUCAAAUUAGGGUAAGGGUUCAUAGCUUCUGCCGCGUGAGAGAGAAGAUCAGAAAUCGUGUUUCAGAGUGUGAGUGUGCGUUUAAUUAAUUAACCCUUUGGAAAGAAGUUAAGUAGUGGGUAACCCACUACUAACAAGUUAACUAACAAGUUAAUAGGAGAAUAUGUCUGAGUCAUGUGGCUCCAAUGCUUUCCCAAAUGCAGAGGUGGAAAAACA
rnacentral:lncRNA from 1 species